rnacentral:rRNA from 1 species
UACGUAGGGUGCAAGCGUUGUCCGGAUUUAUUGGGUUUAAAGGGUGCGUAGGCGGCCUUGUAAGUCAGUGGUGAAAUUCUUGAGCUUAACUGAAGGAUUGCCAUUGAUACUGUAGGGCUUGAGUACAGAUGAGGUAGGCGGAAUUGAUGGUGUAGCGGUGAAAUGCAUAGAUACCAGCAAGAACACCGAUUGCGAAGGCAGCUUACUAAGCUGUAACUGACGCUGAUGCACGAAAGCGUGGGGAUCGAACAGG